UAAUGAACUUCGAGUUCAAUUGGAGGGCAAGUCUGGUGCCAGCAGCCGCGGUAAUUCCAGCUCCAAUAGCGUAUAUUAAAAUUGUUGCAGUUAAAAAGCUCGUAGUUGAAUUUCUGCUGCAUCGUCGCAUCUCUUGCUGAGUGCUUCGUUUCGGCUUAUUUCGGAUUGAUUUUUUCUUUCCGGAUGAUUACUUUGAGAAAAUUAGAGUGCUCAAAGCAGGCUUUUGCCUUGAAUAGUUUAGCAUGGAAUAAUAAAGUAGGACUUUGGUUCUAUUUUGUUGGUUUUAGGUACCAAAGUAAUGGUUAAUAGGAACAGUUGGGGGCAUUCGUAUUUAACUGUCAGAGGUGAAAUUCUUAGAUUUGUUAAAGACGAACUACUGCGAAAGCAUUUGCCAAGGAUGUUUUCAUUAAUCAAGAACGAAAGUUAGGGGAUCGAAGACGAUCAGAUACCGUCGUAGUCCUCC
rnacentral:rRNA from 1 species